rnacentral:rRNA from 1 species
AGUGAACGCUGGCGGCAGGCCUAACACAUGCCAGUCGAACGGCAGCACAGUAAGAGCUUGCUCUUACGGGUGGCGAGUGGCGGACGGGUGAGGAAUACAUCGGAAUCUACUCUUUCGUGGGGGAUAACGUAGGGAAACUUACGCUAAUACCGCAUAUAACCUACGGGUGAAAGCAGUGGAUCUUCGGACCUUGCGCGAUUGAAUGAGCGGAUGCCGGAUUAGCUAGUUGGCUGGGUAAUGGCCCACCAAGGCGACGAUCCGUAGCCGGUCGGAGAGGAUGAUCGGCCACACUGGAACUGAGACACGGUCCAGACUCCUACGAGAGGCAGCAGUGGGGAAUAUUAGACAAUGGGCGCGAGCCUGAUCCAGCCAGACCGCGUGGGUGAAGAAGGCCUUCGGGUUGUAAAGCCCUUUUGUUGGGAAAGAAAAGCAGCAGCUUAAGACGCCGCUGUUCUGACGGUACCCAAUGAAUAAGCACCGGCUAACUACGUG